GGUCACGUAGCUCAGUAGGAUAGAGCACAAACCUCCUAAGUUUGUUGUCAUGGGUUCAAUUCCCCUCGUGAUCGCCA
rnacentral:tRNA from 1 species